rnacentral:rRNA from 1 species
UACGAACCGUACAAACGUUAUUCGGAAUCACUGGGCUUAAAGGGUGCGUAGGCGGCCAUGUAAGUGAGGUGUGAAAUCCCUCGGCUCAACCGAGGAACUGCGCUUCAUACUGCAUGGCUUGAGGGAGACAGGGGUAAGCGGAACUGAUGGUGGAGCGGUGAAAUGCGUUGAUAUCAUCAGGAACACCGGUGGCUAAAGCGGCUUACUGGGUCUCUUCUGACGCUGAGGUACGAAAGCUAGGGUAGCGAACGGG